GCCGCGGUAGCUCAGUUUGGGAGAGCGUGCGGCUGAAGACCGCAAGGUCGAGGGUUCGAUCCCCUCCCGCGGCA
rnacentral:tRNA from 1 species